GUGAGCCAGCCAGGGAGGGAGAGAGAGAGAUGGAAUCAGUACACAAGGUUUACAACAAGCCCGCCUCACCCUUCGCAGGGCCAAGAAGCACCUGCAAGGGGAGGCAGACCCACCUCUUGGUAUGUGAGAGAUUCUGAGAAAAUCUGUAAUUCACCUAUGUGUUGGUUCCCCCUAAACCCAGGAUUUGAAGGUAGAAAAGCUGUUUCUUUUCAUGGUCACAUCAGGAAGCACAGCACUUAGCUGAGAACACACCGUGUGCCCUGCUCGGUGCAGCUUCUCCACACUUGUUCUCAUCCCCAACAAGUUGAGGAGGUAGAUGUGACUUUUUCCACUUUACAGAGUAGAAAACCGAGGGGCAGAGAGAUGAGCUAAGUUGCUCAAAGUGACCGGGAUUCCACCUGAGUGAGAAACCUGUAGAACAUAGAUGAACUCUUCUGUGGCCAGAAUGGGGUAAAUUCUGCUGGAAGGUUCAGAGGACAGCCCCUCAUUGCCUUCCAAUGCUCCCUCGAAUUUCAUUUAAGGUAAUCUCAAGACGCUCUAAAAGACUCCAUUUCCUUUCAUGUGUUUAAAUUAAGCACGGCAUACAGGAGACAAGGAGAGAAGUAUUUCAACAAAACCCGACAUUCAGAUGUCCUGUAUUUACUGUUCUUUUGCUUCUGUGCCUCUCUCCUCAGUCCCAGCAUCUUAUUCAGAACACAGCCUUAGCACCCCUCCAGGUGGCAGACACUUCUAAAGGACGGCCAUCCAUCAGUCCUAGCUGUUCUUCCCUCACGGAACGCUUGGAAUGAAGUGGGCUGUUUCUUGAGGGGCCUCAUCGCAGGCUGAGCAAGCAGCCAGAUGGUGGGGGAAAGGCAGCGAGGGGGAGCUUUACCCUUCUGACUGCUCAGUUCUCUUGCUCACUGCCCAGCUAUGUCUGAACCUAAGAGCGCCAGUGGUUGAACAUUUGUUCACACUUCCGAGUAUUUUCCAAGUCUACACAAAGCUGCCACCUUGUCUGCUUCCUGAUUCCUUCUCUGAACCAAAGAGGAACAUUUUAUAUUUGAAAAAAAUCCCCAUACCACCUCCAAUUACUGCCUUCCAACUCUUCCCUCUUUUCCCCUUCAACAAACAUGUAAAUGUGAAGACACACACAAGAACAUCAAGUACUUUCUACUGUGACUGCUUGUUUAAAAGUAUCUUUAAAGAAGUGUGGGGUCAGAUCGAGGCCCCCAGGCCAGGGAAUCUCUCCCUGAUGCCAUUUUAGAGUGAAAAUGUCUAGGAGAAAAAAAGAUGACACAAAUUAAUAUGGAGGAACAAAACUAUUUUAGUCACCAUUCUGAUCAGAACUACGAGAAUGCAAAGGAAAACACUGUGUCAAAAUAGACCCAUGCUAGUGUAAGUUAGAUCCUUCAAUGAGCAUAAUCUAUAUGAUACUCUGAGUUCAGCGGCUGGGCCAUGUUCAGAUGCUGUCACCCACAGAAAAGUAGAGUGAGUGCUCAAUACUAUUUGUUGAAGGAGCUUUAGUAAUGUGAGAUUGAAGUCCUAAUUGAAAAAAACAAAGAAAUGUAUCUUUUGGUAAGUAAGUAUUUUAUUCUGGUGCGUUGCAUGAUACCAAACAAGCAAACCUUUUUCAAUGGAAGAAAAGACCACGGUCUAAAGAUCUCUGCCUGUCUCACUGGUGAGCUGGCUAAAGCUGGGACCACAUACCAGUGCAUGAUCUCAGAGGCCUAGAGGCCCUGGAAAUAUUCACAACCAAACAUCCUCUGCAGGUCCAGCUCAUAGCCACCCACACCCCAAGAGUUCUGCACCCACUUCUCUCCUAACUUGGUGAAUUCUACUUUCCACUCUGUUUUCCUGGCAGAAGAGGCCAAAAUGGGGUCUUAAUUUACCUAGAAUCAUUAAUUGACUAGUAUUUCCAAUCUAGAAGCAUUGAUGGCGCCUGAGCAUUGCUUUGCUCAGAUCAGUUUACUACAUGGACUUUUCCCAGGGGAUGUUGAUAGGCAUUAUAAACAAAGAGUUCUGGAAUUAAGGGAAAUCCCAGAUUAACCAUAAAAUGCAAACAGAUUUCUUCAUUGCAGCACUUCUCAGAGCCUUUAUUAUGCUAAUAUUCAUGUAAAUUCCCCCAAAGAAAGGAUAUAGCCUGUAAUGUUUUCCCCAAAACACAAAGGAUUUUUCCUUCUUGGAUGGAAUUAAUGUUCCAUGGAACAUACCUUGCGAAACUAGUUUCUACCACAACUGAAAUCAUCUCUUAGAUUCUGACCUGCAGUUUCCGUCUUCAACACUGGUACAUUUAGAAGCAGAUAUUUGAAAUUUUAGGAUACAUAAAAGGUUUAAAGGAAAAGCACCCAUUGGACAGGGAGUACUAAAGUUAGAACUAGAAAAUUCAGACAUUCCCUGGAAGGAACGGAGCAAUGGCUAUAUGUCUCCACAGCUGCAGAGAGACACUUUAAACAGAAGAUUGCCUUUGUACAGCGUUAGGAUUCCAGGAGCCCAGCCAGGUGAACUGUCUGGGAAGUUGAACUGAUCACCUCACUGCCUCAGGAGUCGCUUACCCAUCUGUCCUGUGGCUUAUCUGCUUCACCUCUUUCCUAAUACUAUGAUGGGAGAUUACUGCCUCCUUUAGUUGUGACCAAGUGCAGCUGCUUUUCUUGACUCGGAAUAAGCCCCCUUCCUUUCUCUCCCUCUGGGCUUUCUUUUCCUUGUAGCCCCAGCAACACUGGGUGAGUAGGCAGUGACCCAGGCUCUGCUUUGGACUGCAUAGAGACCACUGACCUGGCUGACGAUGUGGCAGAAAUUUAGGGGCCUCGGGGUAGGAGGAUGUCCUGUGCUGAGGACAUUGUGGGCUUUGUGAUGAUGCUUCUCUCCUGCCCUGAAAACCUUCUCUCUCUGGGACUCUGCUCAUCCCUGGCUGAAGAAUUUCACAGACCUGCUCACCCCCUCUGUUUCCUCUCACAUUCUUGGGGGAGAUAUUUAAAUUAGUUCCCCAAAGAACAGACAGGCAACAAAUGUGUUCCGGUGCCACCCACCGCUCAUUUUGGGGCUCACUGCCCUCUCGUGGCUGUCCUUGGUCUAGUUGUUUUCCCAGAUAAAAUCUGAACCAGUCACCAACCAAUUGCUCUGAAGCAUUCAUCGACACGUAUUUUAUUAGGAAAGAAGAAAAGGACCUUCCGUAAAGCAUUCGCAGAGCCUUAGAGGUGCUGUCAGAAAGUGUGACUUCCAAGCAGCAUUGCCCCUGGCUGGGAAGUCGGUGGGCGUGGGGGAAGAGCUUUACCCACCACUGAGGAAUCUCUGCUGCCUUCUGCACUGAUGCAAAGGCGAUACAGAUGUGAAGGUCAGAACUGACUGUAAAGUAUACUCCAAAAGAAGAAGGGCGCCCAUGCAGGUUCCAGCUAAACCAAGAAGCAGGAAAGUGGAGAAUGAGAAAGAGGUGGCCAGAAUGGAAAGAGGCCGCUUGCUGCACGGGCGUGAGUCUUGCUGCUGAAGUGGAAACAGUCGGGGGCGAAGAAUGAGUUGUCAGGCAAGCCCUCCUGGUCACC